rnacentral:rRNA from 1 species
UAGGGAAUAUUAGUCAAUGGGCGAAAGUCUGACGAUGCGACGCCGCAUGAACGAUGAAGGCCUUCGGGUUGUAACGUUCUGUUGCCCUAGAACAAGAGUGACUGACGAAUAGGCGGUCACGAUGAGGGUACAGGAAGAGGAAGCACCGGCUAAUUCCGUGCCAGCAGCCGCGGUAACACGUAGGGGGCAAGCGUUGUUCGGGAUUACUGGGCGUAAAGGGCAUGUAGGCGGUUUAGUAAGCUUGGCGUGAAAGACCACGGCUUAACUGUGGGAUUGCGUUGGGAACUAGAUGACUAGAGUUACGGAGAGGGAGCUAGAAUUCCUGGUGUAGGGGUGGAAUCUGUAGAGAUCAGGAAGAAUACCGAUGGCGAAGGCAAGCUCCUGGCCGAUGACUGACGCUGAGGUGUGAAAGUGUGGGGAUCAAACA